CGAGACUCUUCUACCAAAAAUUCGUUGUGAUCUGACAAGCACUUAAAUGAUGGAUACAGAUUUUAUACAAAUGAAAGGUAGGAUUAAACUGUAAAUGAAUUUUAAAGGCAGAAGACUCACGUACACUGCACCCAGCGAUUCAAUUGAUGUCCAGGCCUCUUUUUUCCUACUGUAUACAGAAGUAUGAAGUCUGCAGCCAUAAUAAAAGCGGUAGGAAUGAUCUAUGUUUUCCGCAACGCGUCAACGAUUCCAUGAAGAGCCUCUCUUAUGAAUAUUCCUAAUGAUCAAAACUCUAAAAAAAGCUAAAAAGAAUAAUUUCGCAAUGCUGAAAAGUUGAAGAGUACGGUUACACGAAGCAGUACAGGAAUUCGAAAUCCAUCGAAAACAACUAUCCAGACAAACUGAAAAGCUAAACAGACUACUCGUUCUUUCUAGUAGACAGUAUACAGGUUUUGGAAUAGCAAACUAUACUUAAGGCCUAUGAAUCAUUUCCUUCAAACUUUCAAAUCAAUCAC